GCUGUUUUGUCUGUAACCUCAAAUAUCAUUGGUUAGUCCCCUUUCCCGGAAAUCAGUUGUGAUUGGCUCCCUUUUAUUACGAAGAACCAUAACAAACUAACCUGUUCUUUGUGAGACAUCACUUCAUCAAGGGACCUACUGCAUGCCAAGUUGAAGGAUCCUGCUUGGCAUGUUGUUUCCCCUUUACACAGCACUCUAGCUAAUGACUCUUGUUCAAUAUCUCAGAUUGAUGAAGGGCAGAUUCAGUGAGAGCCGGUCAAGAGAUACAGCUGCUGGCGACACACAAACUCCAUGUAAUCCAGGUCAAGUGGAGUUCUCAAAAGUGCUCUCUCACAGAGAAGUUUCACCAAAAGAUGGUGCUUCAGAAUGUGCUGCAGAAUAAAGGACAAAAUAUAACUGAAACAAGCAACAAACAUUAUAAAGUAAUAAGUGAUCACCUAGUGAUCUUAACCCAUAAAUAUAAUUUUUUUUUUCUAUGGGGCAACAGAUAUUUGAGAGGCUGGGGGUAGGGACUGUAAGUGGGCCAAAUAUUCAAUUACUCAGGUCAAGUGACUUGGAAUAAAAGCUCUGGCAUUACUUAACCAUCUUUAUCUAGCAUCGUGGCAUACUGUGAGAAGGCCACAGACCUUGAAAUAAAUGGUCAUAUCUUUUACGUUAUUUUCUUGGGAGAAACUGUAAGAUUAAAAAUAAAAACAGUAUUUAAAAUAGUGUGAAAUUGAAUUUGAGUCUUGGAAAAUGUGUUAAAAAACAACAAAUUAAUUUUCUGAGGUGGUUUAUGUUCCCUCACAUUUAGAGUUAAAUCAUCUACAUUUGAAUGAAUGAACGUUACAUUUAUAUAGCGUUUUUCUGACACUACACUCAAAGCGCUUUACACAGUGAACAGGAGACUCUCCUCAACCACCACCAGUGUGCAGCAUCCACCUGGAUGAUGCAACAGCAGCCAUAGUGCACCAGUACAGUCACCACACACCAGCUAUUGGUGGAGAGGAGAGAGUAGAGUGAUACAGCCAAUUAAUGGAUGGGGAUUAUUAGGAGGCCAUGAUUGAGAAUUUGGCCAGGACACCAGUGUUACAGCCCUACUUUUUUCCAGAAGUGACCACAGUUUAACAUCUCAUCCAAAGGACAGUGCCUUUUUACAGUAUAGUGUUCCCAUCACUAUACUGGGGCAUUAGGACCUACACAGUCCACAGGGUGAGCACCCCCUGCUGGGCUCCCUAAUUCCUCUUCCAGCAGCAAACUUAGUUUACCCCACAAUGUCUCCCAUCCAGGUACUGACCAGACUCAACUCCGCUUAGCUUCAGUAGAAAACCAGUCUUGAGCUACAGGGUGAUAUGGGUGCUGGCUAUGCUUUUGUAUGACAGCAAUGAUCUAAAAAGAGUCAUCUGAAAAGUAUCCUGUGAAGAAGUCUAAAAUGCCCCUGGUGUAGUAAACUACAGCUAUUAAUUACAAUUUAGGCACAGUUUAGGCCUAAAAGCAUAGCUGUGGGUGACGUGUAGGUAAGAACCCUUGUACAAGGGAGGGGAAGCAUAAUAAAACAAUCAACCACUCAUAUUGACAAGACAGCAAUAUCUAGGCUGAUAACAAAAAAUGCUUUCUCUAAAAUAUUUAUAUUGCAUGCUUAUAUGUACACUAAUUUACUUUUUUUUUUUUUUUUUUUUUUUUUUAAAUCUAAAGUGGCAUACAUUAUGCAAACUAAACACAGUCACCAUAUAGCAACUUAAAAUCAGUGGUUUAAAGUCACCAAUGUAGACGCAGACACGUUGCAUCCUCUUGUUACUAAGGCUAUGAUUUAUUUUCCUGGGCUCACAACCUUUCAAAUAAUUAUAAAGUGUCUUACAACUGCAAUGACACAAGUCAGAUUGUGUAUUAUAUAUAAAUAAAUAGCAGUUCUUAAAGUUCUAUAGAUACAUCACAGGAAUGCAACAAUUAGCUGGUCAGCUUCCUGUUUUUAAAGUGUCUGGCAAAGAUACACAGUACUUACAUUAUAUAACAUUACAUAAGCCCUGUUAUCAUAUGAAGAAUUAGCUACAAAUAA